GGCCUGCUAGCUCAGUUGGUUAGAGCGUCGUGCUAAUAACGCGAAGGUCGUAGGUUCGUUCCCUGCGCAGGCCA
rnacentral:tRNA from 1 species